rnacentral:rRNA from 1 species
GAUGAACGCUAGCGGCAGGCUUAACACAUGCAAGUCGAGGGGCAGCGCGGGUAGCAAUACCUGGCGGCGACCGGCAAACGGGUGCGGAACACGUACAGAACCUACCUUUGUCUGGGGCAUAGCCCGGAGAAAUCCGGAUUAACUCCCCAUAAUAUAUUUGAGUGGCAUCACUUGGAUAUUAAAAUUUAUUGGACAGAGACGGCUGUGCGUCCCAUUAGCUAGUUGGUAGGGUAACGGCCUACCAAGGCAACGAUGGGUAGCUGGUGUGAGAGCACGACCAGCCACACGGGCACUGAGACACGGGCCCGACUCCUACGGGAGGCAGCAGUGAGGAAUAUUGGUCAAUGGACGCAAGUCUGAACCAGCCAUGCCGCGUGAAGGAUGAAGGCCUUCUGGGGUUGUAAACUUCUUUUACCUGGGAAGAAAACUACGAUUUCUAUCGUAGCCGACGGUACCAGAGGAAUAAGCACCGGCUAAACUCCGUGCCAGCAGCCGCGGUAAU